AUGGCAGGAGAGUCACACAGUCUACCCCAACCAAAUGGAGAGGCCUUAGAGGCUCCCUCCCGCUGUUCAGAGGUAAUUAAAAUACAGUACCCUUUGCAUGUAAAGAAUGAUAAGUCAAGAAAAGAUUACAAAAUGAAGCUCCUUAUGGAAAAUCAAGAGACACUUUUUGCUGACUAUUACAAAAAUGGGAACAUCAGCAACCUUAUCUUCCACACAAACCAUCCCCUGGCAUGGCACAGUGCUAUAUUAGCACACUACCCCUUUGUUACGAGAGGGGGGAUUAACGAGGGGUGGAAACUCAGAAUACUUGAUAACGAGGACUCUGAGUCAAGUAAUAUAAAUAUCUAUGAGUCCGGAACAGUAAUGGUACAGGCUAACCCCAAACAGUUUCAGCUGGACUUUCACCUAAUCAAAGAAUUAGCCCAGCAGGAGAAGCUCUCCCUUGAUAAAGAUACCCCCACACCGAGCGGGUCAGACCAGACCUCUUCAUUAUGUAACCCCACAGACGAGCAACCCCCAGCAGAGAGUCAACCUCCCAGCACAGACUACCACUCCCUCAUUGAAAUGAAGGACAAAUUCACCCAGCUGGAGAUAAGGCAGGUGGAACUGGAACAGCAGGUAAUUACACUUCAGUCAGCACAGACCCAGACAACAGUCCAGCACAACAACAGCCCCUUAACCAGACCCGGAGAGCUGGAGGUGGACAGAGACAUAUCUGCACUUUGGACAGUGGUGAGACAAAUACAACAAGAGAAAGAGGAGCAGAACAGAGCACUAGAGGAGAGUGUCAGACAGCUGGUGGAGGAGAGGUUGAGGGGGAUGGAGGAGAGGGUGAGGGGGAUGGAGGAGAGGUUGAGGGGGACGGCGUGCGACAGAGAACAACCCACUAGAGAAGUGGCCACCCCCACAGAGAAGCCAGUAGAACAGCCCACCUCAGCACCCAACAAAAGUCUCGACACCACAGCAGAACAGUCCACACCAGACCCUGACCAUAGAGUCGACAUCACAGCAGAACAGACAAAUGAAGAACCCCAAGCCCAGCGGCUCUCACCCCCUCUGAGCACCCCCCCUGUCAGCCUGCCUGAUAGCCCUUCUGACAACCCCCCACACCCACUGAGGACAAACACAAGACACAGAUUGUACUACUUAUGGACUCAAAUGGGAAAUAUAUAG
rnacentral:lncRNA from 1 species